ensembl:lncRNA
CAUAUAGAUGAGUCGACAUCCUGCUCCUUCAUAUAGAUGAGUCAACAUCCUGCUCCUUCAUAUAGAUGAGUCAACAUCCUGCUCCUUCAUAUAGAUGAGUCAACACCCUAAACACGCUACUCGUGGUUCUGGGAGGGUGUUUGGAUUCGAAGAAUGGAAUGUUACAAGGAACUAAGGCUAGCAGGGAGACUCUAGUCUGAUUCUGGACACUAGAUUUAGAAUCUAUUCUCUACACUGCAUCUUCCUUGUCUUUUUAUAUCUCAAUGUGAACAAAAUGAAGGAAAUGUAUGUUUUGAAAAUGUGUAAUUAAUUGUAUCCAUUAUUUAACUCAUAAUUGACUAUUUGUUAUGUGUGUAGAUCAUUUGUUGUAAAAUGUCAUAUUGUUUAUACUGUGACUCCUAUCUCAUGUCUUAAUGGCCUGAUUGUGUUAGUACAGUGAUAGAUGAGAGCGUGUGGCUGGCUCCCUCCCUCCCAUCCCCAGCUCAGCCCUAGUCCCAUCUCCAGCUCAGCCCUAGUCCCAUCUCCAGCUCAGCCCUAGUCCCAUCUCCAGCUCAGCCCUAGUCCCAUCUCCAGCUCAGCCCUAGUCCCAUCUCCAGCUCCACCCUAGUCCCAUCCCCAGCCCUAGUCCCAUCCCCAGCUCAGCCCUAUUCCCAUCCCCAGCCCUAGUCCCAUCCCCAGCUCAGCCCUAGUCCCAGCCCUAGUCCCAUCCCCAGCUCAGCCUUAGUCCCAUCCCCAGCUCAGCCCUAGUCCCAUCCCCAGCUCAGCCCUAGUCCCAUCCCCAGUCCUAGUCCCAUCCCCAGCUCAGCCCUAGUCCCAUCCCCAGCUCAGCCCUAGUCCCAUCCCCAGCUCAGCCCUAGUCCCAUCCCCAGCCCUAGUCCCAUCCCCAGCCCUAGUCCCAUCCCCAGCUCUAGUCCCAUCCCCAGCUCAGCACUAGUCCCAUCCCCAGCCCUAGUCCCAUCCCCAGCUCAGCCCUAGUCCCAUCCCCAGCCCUAGUCCCAUCCCCAGCUCAGCCUUAGUCCCAUCCCCAGCUCAGCCCUAGUCCCAUCCCCAGCUCAGCCCUAGUCCCAUCCCCAGCUCAGCCCUAGUCCCAUCCCCAGUCCUAGUCCCAUCCCCAGCUCAGCCCUAGUCCCAUCCCCAGCUCAGCCCUAGUCCCAUCCCCAGCUCAGCCCUAGUCCCAUCCCCAGCCCUACCCUAGUCCCAUCCCCAGACCUAGUCCCAUCCCCAGCUCAGACCUAGUCCCAUCCCCAGCUCUAGUCCCAUCCCCAGCUCAGACCUAGUCCCAGCCCUAGUCCCAUCCCCAGCUCAGACCUAGUCCCAUCCCCAGCUCAGACAUAGUCCCAUCCCCAGCCCUAGUCCCAUCCCCAGCUCUAGUCCCAUCCCCAGCUCAGACAUAGUCCCAUCCCCAGCUCAGACCUAGUCCCAUCCCCAGCCCUAGUCCCAUCCCCAGCCCUAGUCCCAUCCCCAGCCCUAGUCCCAUCCCCAGCUCAGACAUAGUCCCAUCCCCAGCUCAGCCCUAGUCCCAUCUCCAGCUCAGCCUUAGUCCCAUCCCCAGCUCAGCCUUAGUUCCAUCCCCAGCUCAGCCCUAGUCCCAUCCCCAGUCCUAGUCCCAUCCCCAGCCCUAGUCCCAUCCCCAGACCUAGGACCAUCCCCAGCUCAGACCUAGUCCCAUCCCCAGUCCUAGUCCCAUCCCCAGCUCAGACCUAGUCCCAUCCCCAGCUCAGACCUAGUCCCAUCCACAGCCCUAGUCCCAUCCCCAGCCCUAGUCCCAGCCCUACUCCCAUCCCCAGCUCAGACCUAGUCCCAUCCCCAGUUUAGCCCUAGUCCCAUCCCCAGUUUAGCCCUAGUCCCAUCCCCAGCUCUAGUCCCAUCCCCAGCCCUAGUCCCAUCUCCAGCUCAGACCUAGUCCCAUCCCCAGCCCUAGUCCCAUCCCCAGCUCUAGUCCCAUCCCCAGCUCAGACCUAGUCCCAUCCCCAGCCCUAGUCCCAUCCCCAGCCCUAGUCCCAUCCCCAGCCCUAGUCCCAUCCCCAGCUCUAGUCCCAUCCCCAGCUCAGACCUAGUCCCAUCCCCAGCCCUAGUCCCAUCCCCAGCUCAGACCUAGUCCCAUCCCCAGCCCUAGUCCCAUCCCCAGCUCAGCCCCUAUUAAAUGUCAUUAGUCUGAGUCAUACGUAUGAAUGUAUUGAUUAGAUGCAGAGAUGGGAUGCAGGGAUCCAUUGAAGAGAUUUACCAGGUGGAACAAAGUCAUGUAAUCAAUCACCAUUCUCCCAGGAGGCUACUGACCUGGGCAACCUGCUCUACACGACACUGAGCCAUUCAUAAGGGCUGAGUCCCAAAUGGGACCAUAUUCCCUAUAUAAUGCACUACGUUUGACCAGGGCCACAUGGGCCAUUAGGGAGUUAUUGAGGGUAGGGAUGAGAAUAGACUACAUUGUAUACUGUUUUGGUUUCAAUAAUAUAAACCUCUUAUGAAAUGUUUUUUAUAUCACCCACUGCACAGGGCCUUUCUCAAGGGUUUGGUCUUUUUAACUAUUAAACCAUGGCAGCUGCUGCUAGCCCUUUUGAAUGCCUUGUUUUAUGUGUUAUUUUUAUCUUAACUCUGAGACAGUCACAUUGGUCUUAAGACAAUCCCUUCAGUCCCGGGGUGAUUCUAUUGUUAGAACUGUAGCACAUUGGUCUUAAGACAAUCCCUUCAGUCCCGGGGUGAUUCUAUUGUUAGAACUGUAGCACAUUGGUCUUAAGACAAUCCCUUCAGUCCCGGGGUGAUUCUAUUGUUAGAACUGUAGCACAUUGGUCUUAAGACAAUCCCUUCAGUCCCGGGGUGAUUCUAUUGUUAGAACUGUAGCACAUUGGUCUUA